rnacentral:rRNA from 1 species
GUAGUCCACGCCCUAAACGAUGUCUACUUGCUGUUGGGAGAGAUCUUAGUAGCGAAGCAAACGUGAGAAGUAGACCGCCUGGGGAGUACGGUCGCAAGAUUAAAACUCAAAGGAAUUGACGGGGACCCGCACAAGCGGUGGAUGAUGUGGAUUAAUUCGAUGCAACGCGAAGAACCUUACCUGCUCUUGACAUGCCAGGGAGAUCUAAGAGAUUAGAUUGUGCCUUCGGGAACCUGGGCACAGGUGCUGCAUGGCUGUCGUCAGCUCGUGUCGUGAGAUGUUGUCUUAAGUGACGCAACGAGCGCAACCCUUACUACUAGUUACCAUAAUUAAGUUUGGGACUCUAGUGGGACUGCCGGUGCUAAGCCGGA